rnacentral:rRNA from 1 species
CCUACGGGAGGCAGCAGUAGGGAAUUUUCCGCAAUGGGCGAAAGCCUGACGGAGCAAUACCGCGUGAGGGAUGACGGCCUGUGGGUUGUAAACCUCUUUUCUCAAGGAAGAAGUUCUGACGGUACUUGAGGAAUAAGCAUCGGCUAACUCUGUGCCAGCAGCCGCGGUAAUACAGAGGAUGCAAGCGUUAUCCGGAAUUACUGGGCAUAAAGCGUCUGUAGGUGGUUUGGUAAGUCUGCUGUUAAAGACUGGGGCUCAACCCCAGAAAAGCAGUGGAAACUGCCAGACUUGAGUGUGGUAGAGGUAGAAGGAAUUCCUAGUGUAGCGGUGAAAUGCGUAGAUAUUAGGAAGAACACCAAUGGCGAAGGCAUUCUACUGGACCAUAACUGACACUGAGAGACGACAGCUAGGGGAGCAAAUGGGAUUAGAUACCCCAGUAGUCCUAGCCGUAAACGAUGGAUACUAGAUGUUGCACGUAUUAACCCGUGCAGUAUCGUAGCUAAGGCGUUAAGUAUCCCGCCUGGGAAGUACGCGCGCGAGAGAGUAACGUACUAAUUAGAAGUUAGUUAGGCGUGAGAGNGCGACGGACGACGACGAGGGAGGAGG